AUGUAUCAGAUGAGGAAGCUGUGGUGUGCUCCAUACCUGGUGGGGCGUUGUUUCUUAGGAUUGAGCAGCAAUCAGCGUAGUGAGAGCCUCAACUCGGUGCUACAUACACAUCUUGAGGGUAAGAUGACAUUGUUUGAUAUGCUAGAGCACUAUGAGCGUUGCCUUUCGGGACGACGCUUGAAUGAGGCGAUCCUAGACAUCGUGGCCUUACAGUCCGUUAUACUCACCGACGCGGAUGCUUCAAGUCUUGAGAAACAUGCUGCCCGGGUUUUCACGCCUUGUAUGUUUGAGCUGGUUAGAUGGAGCAUAAAUGCCGUCAGCAAAUGUGUUAUCAGCGAGAUACUAGACGCAUGGGAGUUGACUACAUAUGUUGUCGCUAAGAUCGAUAGAAGGGAGAAGAAGUUCGAAGUGCGCUGUAAGGUGAAGGAAGGUUCUUUGUACAGGAUCAGUUGCUCUUGUCAUAAGCUGGAAUGCUUGGGAACACCAUGCUCUCACAUAUUCUACAUCUUGGGAAUACGUCAAGUGGAACUGCUGCCUAGGUGUUGUGUUCCCAUGAGGUGGACGAUGAGUGCGAAGUCAGCAUUCCCUCCGACCAGAAAGAGCGAGAUGUAUGACUAUUCAGAAAGCCUUGUGAGGUACCGUGAGUUGCGGAAUUUGAGUCACGCGACAUGUUUCUGCGCAUGUCAAUCCAGUGAGGAGUAUCAGCGUCUGAAGACGGUUCUGAAUGCACAAGAUGGCAGCAAGGAAUCAAGCCGUGGUCAGGAGGAAUGCAUUAUGUUUGGUCCGGUGCUGCCACAGAUGACGGAAAUUGAUUGUGCAGAUUUGGAAAAGGUUCUAGACCCAGUGCAUGUGCAAGGCCGAGGUGCACCGAAGAAAAGGUUGCAGGCAAAGAUGAAGAAGCAAAGAUCAAAGAGGAAAUGUGGCUACUGUGGGGUGGAAGGCCAUGAUCGGCGUAUAUGCACUAAAUUGGAAGAGGAAGUGAUGGGCUGA
rnacentral:rRNA from 1 species